UGGGAAGGUGAUACAUGAGCAAAAUUAAGCACUGUGUUGCUCAUCACAAACUUUCCCUAUAGCAAAAUGCCUUUUGAUGACCGGGACGAACUGAGAGAAAUCGUAACGGACAGAUACGGGGCAGACAAGG
ensembl:scaRNA